CGCUAUCGGAUUGAGACUAAGACAUGCAAGUCAAAGCACUCACUUGAGUGCUUGGCGAACGGCUGAGUAACACGUAGUCAACCUUCCCUUCGGAGGGGCAUAACCUCGAGAAAUUGAGGUGAAUUCCCCGUAGGCCACGAUGGCUGGAACGCCAUGUGGCCAAUACGGCCUUGAAUUGGAAAGAUACCGCCGAAGGAUGGGACUGCGGCUGAUUAGGCUGUUGGUGGGGUAACGGCCCACCAAACCAAUAAUCAGUAGGGGUUAUGGGAGUAAUAGCCUCCAGAUGGGCACUGCGACAAGGGCCCAAGCCCUACGGGGUGCAGCAGUUACGAAAAUUCCGCAAUGCGCGAAAGCGUGACGGGGUUAAUCCGAGUGAUAGGCGAAAGCCUUUCUUUUGGCGGGUUUGAAACGCCCGCAGAAUAAGGGGUGGGUAAAUCUCGUGCCAGCCGCCGCGGUAAUACGAGUAGCCCGAGUGUUGUCCACGAAUAUUGAGUCUAAAGCGAGUGUAGCCGGAUGCGCACGUCCUCCGUGAAAUCUCCCCGCUUAACGGGGAGGCUUGCGGGGGAUACGACGCGUCUUGGGAAUGGGGGAGACCCGGGGUACGAUAGGGGGAGGAGUAAAAUCCUGUAAUCCUUAUCGGACCACCAGUGGCGAAGGCGCCGGGCCAAAACAUGUCCGACGGUGAGACUCGAAGGCUAGGGGAGCAAAUGGGAUUAGAUACCCCAGUAGUCCUAGCAGUAAAUGAUGCAGACUUGGCGUUGCCCUUCCUUUGAGGGGGUGCAGUGCCGGAGCGAAGGCGUUUAGUCUGCCACUUGGGGAGUACGGUCGCAAGAUUGAAACUUAAAGGAAUUGGCGGGGGAGUACCACAAGCCGUGGAUGCUGCGGUUCAAUUGGAUUCAACGCCGGAAAACUCACCAGGAGAGACAGCAGAAUGAAGCCCAAGCUGAAGACUUUGGCUAACAAGCUGAGAGGUGUUGCAUGGCCAGCGUCAGUUCGUGCCGUGAGGUGUCAGGUCAAGUCCUGCAACGAACGAGAUCCCUGUUUGCAGUUGCCAGCCCUGAAGCGAUUUUGGGCGCACUCUGCGAAGACUGCCCGCGUGAAGUGGGAGGAAGGAAGGGGCGACGCUAGGUCCGUAUGGCCCGAAUCUCCUGGGCCACACGUGGCAUACAAUGGUGGAGACAAUGGGUCCCGACGCCGAAAGGCGAAGGCAAUCCCCGAAACUCCGCCCAAGUUCGGAUUGAGGGCUGAAACUCGCCCUCAUGAAGCUGGAAUGGCUAGUAAUCGCGUGUCAUUAUCGCGCGGUGAAUGUGUCCCCUCUCCUUGCACACACCGCCUGUCAAGUCAUCCAAGCUGGGUUUUAGUGAGGC
rnacentral:rRNA from 1 species